rnacentral:lncRNA from 1 species
UUCAUUAUUCCAAAUCAAUUGUACAUACACCUCCACCUCUACAUCACAUGGCAACACAUUAUCAUACAUUUCCAGAAAUCAAUAUCCAUACUAAGACACCUUUUACAAACUACUUUAUGCCACAAAUAAAACUUGUGCCCUAUGGCACUACAGACUGGGCUCCGUUACCAGCAACUCGAAUCCCGGCUCCGUUCCUACUCCAUCUGUAAAUGAUGAGAAGUGAGUUCACAUAACUUAAUACGAUAAAAAUCAAGUUGCAGGUGUAGUAUGCAGUGAUAAGAAAUUCAGAAAUGUCUAUAUGCAAUUAUCCUACCCAACCCAAAACAAAUUAUAGAACUCCCCUACAACUAGCCAUCAAGAUCCUACCCCAAAGAAACAAUUCGGGCAAUCAAUAGCACACACACAACAACAAUCCAACACCUCACAUCAUCAACAUCGGCUACCCCCACUCACCACACUAUUUCACAACCUUACUAGACCACCCACACACACAAGUAUCCUUAGCUCACGUCACCAACAUCGGCGACUCAUACUCUCUCCUCCACCGCUCAACCUCAUGAGGCCACGCACACACACAAGUACCUUCAUUUCACGUCACCAAUAUCGGUGACCCAUAUUCUCUCCUCCACCUCUCGACCUAAGUAGGCCACGCACACACACAAGUACCAUCAUCUCACGUCACCAACAUCGGCGACACAUACUCACUCUUCCACUUCUCGACCUUAUUAGGCCACGCAUACAUACAAGUACCAUCAUCUCACGUCACCAACAUCGGCGACUCAUACUCACUCCUCCACCUCUCGACCUCAUUAGGCCACGCACACACACAAGUAUCAUCAUCUCACGUCACCAACACCGGCGACUCAUACUCUCUCCUCCACCUCUCGACCUUAUUAGACCACACACACACAUAGGUAUCAUCACCUCACGUCACCAACACCGGUGACUCAUACUCUCUCCUCCACCUCUCGACCUUAUUAGGCCACACACACACACAGGUAUCAUCACCUCACGUCACCAACAUCGGCGACUCACACUACACCUCACCAACGUGCUCCUAAUCUCCCAUCCUAAACUGCACGCUACCAACUACCCUUGCGCCACUCUAAUCCCAAGCAACUACACUCUCUGCCCCCCCCCCCCCUCUCUAACUUACCAGCCCCUACUGUUAUAUUACACCUCUUCCCUCAUCCGAACCCCAUCAAUCCUUGGUUCCUAUAUCCUAGUCCUCUCCACCGUACCAUCCAGUACUCUUCGCUCACCCACCGCCCUCACGCUCCACUUCUCCUAUCCUUCUGCCUCCUCCCGCUUCCUCUAUACUUUUGCUUCCCUAAGACGGUUAAAAACCUCUCGACUCGCACCGUCUCAAUCCGUACACUCACCCCUCCCACCGUACGCUCAGUGAAUACGUUGCCUUCUGCUCGCGACUCCCUCCGCGCCUCCACCCACGCACUCACUAAAUUGCUCACUCACUCUUCCUCCUAGUGGUCCUCCCUCUGUACUACACGCACAACCUCCAUUUUCCCCCACGGUUCCCCGUACGCCCCAAACAUCGCCAUACUUUCGCUUCCCCCGGCCUCCUCCGCGAACGUGCGGAAUAAUCCCACACUCUACCGCCUACCUCCACCUCUCAACUCCGUCACACCAACUACGGACUCCGCAACUUGCAAAAAAAAUCACAACUCACACCACACCAAAGCAACUGAAAUUUUCACCGUACCUCCCGUUUCCAUCUUCCUUCCUUCUGCCGGUAUCGUCGUCCGUCCACGGUCUCUUUCCCUCUCCCUUCUCGCUCCCCUCCGUUCCGACCGUCUCCUCUAUCCUUCUGGAACUUUCCUUCCCUUCUUCUUCUCCGCUCUCUUCUUUCCCUCCUUUUCUCUUUUUUUUCUUCCCUCUUCUCCCUUUCCCGACCUUCCUUUAUACCCUACUAGCUUACUCAAAACG